GACGAACGCUGGCGGCGUGCUUAACACAUGCAAGUCGAACGGAAAGGCCCUGCUUUUGUGGGGUGCUCGAGUGGCGAACGGGUGAGUAACACGUGAGUAACCUGCCCUUGACUUUGGGAUAACUUCAGGAAACUGGGGCUAAUACCGGAUAGGAGCUCCUGCUGCAUGGUGGGGGUUGGAAAGUUUCGGCGGUUGGGGAUGGACUCGCGGCUUAUCAGCUUGUUGGUGGGGUAGUGGCUUACCAAGGCUUUGACGGGUAGCCGGCCUGAGAGGGUGACCGGCCACAUUGGGACUGAGAUACGGCCCAGACUCCUACGGGAGGCAGCAGUGGGGAAUAUUGCACAAUGGGCGGAAGCCUGAUGCAGCAACGCCGCGUGCGGGAUGACGGCCUUCGGGUUGUAAACCGCUUUCGCCUGUGACGAAGCGUGAGUGACGGUAAUGGGUAAAGAAGCACCGGCUAACUACGUGCCAGCAGCCGCGGUGAUACGUAGGGUGCGAGCGUUGUCCGGAUUUAUUGGGCGUAAAGGGCUCGUAGGUGGUUGAUCGCGUCGGAAGUGUAAUCUUGGGGCUUAACCCUGAGCGUGCUUUCGAUACGGGUUGACUUGAGGAAGGUAGGGGAGAAUGGAAUUCCUGGUGGAGCGGUGGAAUGCGCAUAUAUCAGGAGGAACACCAGUGGCGAAGGCGGUUCUCUGGGGCUUUCCUGACGCUGAGGAGCGAAAGCGUGGGGAGCGAACAGGCUUAGAUACCCUGGUAGUCCACGCUGUAAACGGUGGGUACUAGGUGUGGGGUCCAUUCCACGGGUUCCGUGCCGUAGCUAACGCUUUAAGUACCCCGCCUGGGGAGUACGGCCGCAAGGCUAAAACUCAAAGGAAUUGACGGGGCCCCGCACAAGCGGCGGAGCAUGCGGAUUAAUUCGAUGCAACGCGUAGAACCUUACCUGGGUUUGACAUGGAUCGGGAGCGCUCAGAGAUGGGUGUGCCUCUUUUGGGGUCGGUUCACAGGUGGUGCAUGGCUGUCGUCAGCUCGUGUCGUGAGAUGUUGGGUUAAGUCCCGCAACGAGCGCAACCCUUGUUCACUGUUGCCAGCACGUUAUGGUGGGGACUCAGUGGAGACCGCCGGGGUCAGCUCGGAGGAAGGUGGGGAUGACGUCAAGUCAUCAUGCCCCUUAUGUCCAGGGCUUCACGCAUGCUACAAUGGCUGGUACAGAGAGUGGCGAGCCUGUGAGGGUGAGCGAAUCUCGGAAAGCCGGUCUCAGUUCGGAUUGGGGUCUGCAACUCGACCUCAUGAAGUCGGAGUCGCUAGUAAUCGCAGAUCAGCAACGCUGCGGUGAAUACGUUCCCGGGGCU
rnacentral:rRNA from 1 species